rnacentral:rRNA from 1 species
UACGAAGGGGGCUAGCGUUGCUCGGAAUUACUGGGCGUAAAGGGCGCGUAGGCGGCGAUGUUAGUCAGGCGUGAAAGCCCUGGGCUCAACCUGGGGACUGCGCUUGAUACGGCAUGGCUAGAGGAUGGAAGAGGGUCGCGGAAUUCCCAGUGUAGAGGUGAAAUUCGUAGAUAUUGGGAAGAACACCGGUGGCGAAGGCGGCGAGCUGGUCCAUUACUGACGCUGAGGCGCGACAGCGUGGGGAGCAAACAGGAUUAGA